UGAAAAGCGGCUUCCAUCUUUUGUGCACAAAAAAAAAUGCAAGUGUUGGUUUUUUUUUGUGAAAAAAGGUGAUGUCUUUUUCUUUCUUUAUUGCUUAUUUCGUGAAUUCGUGAUUUGCUUAUUGUGUGAAAAGUGUAGUGUUUUAAAUGUGCCAAAGUGCGUUGAAGUGUGUAUGGGCGUUGUGCACAGAAAAAAAUGCAAGUGCUGGUUAUUGUUUUGGUGAAGAAAAGUGUCUAUUGUGUAGAUGUCUAUUUUUAAAUGAGCUUUUUGCUCACAGCGUAAAUUCGUGUAUUGUAAAAUGUGGCUAUUGUAGGCGAAUGGGGCGUUUUUAAUGUGUGUAUGUGUAUUUAAAGUGUGUUUGUGAAAGAAAAAAAAAGAAAAUGGCAUUUGUGUAAAAGCCUAAGGGCCGCGAAGAAGCAAUUUUGUGUUUCGAAGUGAAUGCUUUCCUGUGGAUUAGGAAAGUAAAGUGUCCUGCUUACCAACUAUCGUUGAGCCGGGAAGCUACCAGCCUUGCAAACUUCCAUAACCGGAUCCGGAUCGGUGGUAAGCCAAUGCUACCGUGCAGAAGGAACAAUUGCCGGAGGGAUUGAACGGAGUGCUUGCAUGAUGUACGACCGCUUCAUGCUGUUCAAACAGUUGCUUAUUCGGUCAAGCACGUCCUAACGUCACUCGGCGCUCAACAGGGCCUAUCUCUGUUCGUCAACGGCUCAUUAUCGUAUCCCAGGUAAGUUUAGUGUGUGCUUACCACGACCCGAGCACACCCGUUUGGGUCACCCAACCAACGGCUGAAAGAGCCAGUUGCUGGCUCUGUUGCUGGAGAGAAGCUCCUCGUUAGACAUGAAACAUUACAAGUGAUUAAAUGAGGGCUUUUGAUCUUUCGUCGCCGUCGCGGGGAACGGAGUCACGUGUUACAGCGAAUCUGACACUUCACAUCUCUCAUGCAUGUGUUCGCUACGGUAACCGGUCCCAGGGACCGGGGUAUCCUGGUUUCCCGGGGUCCAGUACCCAUGUUCCGAGAAGAUGAUGCUUUGCUGCUACCGUUUGCUCAAGCCCCGGGAAUGAUGUGAGAACGCUUUUUAAUUAUGAAUAUUUCAUUUCAUGCAAACCGUACCACGUGCACUAACCUCUGUCCCCCAAAAUGUAGACAGGGAUUGUGAAAGGACCGAACCGACCAAAACAAACCACCAGAAGGUAGUCGAGAUUUCUGGAAGACAUAGGAGCCCCAUCCGUGGACGGUUGGCAAGCGCCACUGUUUUAAAACUAACAGAAGGGUCUGAAGAUUCUCGACUCCCGCCGGAAAUAUGUAAUGACUUACUUAGUGCAAAGCUCUGCUUCAACAACACUGGGGAUGAUAUUUUUCCAGGCUCCCUUGCAUAUACACGCCACGUAUUUUUUACCACUUUAGGAAAAUUCUCGUAGCAGUUUCUUGCUAGUGUAUAUAGUUGCUAGCGUGAGCAUGCAUCCGGAGCUUACCUAUGACGAGCAGAGCGAUUCGAUUCGAUGUUUUCUCAAAUUUUCACUCCUGCUUGUCUACCCAAGUUGACUUCAUUCUUGGUGAGUCAUCGAUCGCGUUCGCUCAACAUUUUCCAGCGCUUUACAUGUUUGUCCGUCACACAGCGGCUUCCUGUUAAAAUGUUCCCUUUCUUUACAGGGAACCAGGAGCUUCCAGUGUGUAGCCAGUGUGAGCAGGAGUGUACGAAGAAGUAGUAUAUUUUUAUGCUUCUUCGCUCUCCCCCUUUCUGCUUCUUGCUUUCUUCCCGAUCCCUCGCCAGAACGGCAAAAACAGCAAAAUCCCUCGCUGACGUGUUUGACUUUGUUUCAGCGCGACUUAAAGCAAACGUUGGUAAAAGUUCGUCCCGUCGCUGGUGCAAAACGGCGAAAAAGGUUGCAGGAGCGUCGGUCCAAAGUCCUUGUUCAAUAUUUGUGCACACUCGGACGAACAAAACCUUCCUAUCAAACCGACCCGACUAGCAGCGAGUGUUUUCGUUCGCCGUUUCUCGCUUUUUUUCUGUGUGUCUCGCACACUAAACGCUACAGUAAUGGGAACAUAUUGCGCUAGUCGGGAAAAUUGCUGUUUGCAUUUUGUUUCAUUUUGUAUCCUUAUGCAGAAAUAUACAUAGCUAUCAACUGUUGUAACCAGUAGCGUGUAAAACCAGUUGCUAGACGAUUGGAAUAAGACAAACAGCUGGAGUUUUGGAACGAUGAAGGCAUAAAGAAGUCGGGGGAAUAAUUCAAUAAAAAUGUAUAUUUUAUUAGCUAAAGACGUUCGAUAAACAAAACAUGUUUUCAUUUCAUGCAUACUAAAUGUAGGAGUCAGUUAAUUGAAAACACGCUUUUAUUUGAGGAAUCAUUUUAAUAAUACUCAUCGCUAAAGUUCGCUUUUAUUUACAACAAACAAAUUCCCUUUAGCCCAAACAACAAAGCUCCAACAGUUUCCAAUUACCCUGUAUUUGGUGUUAUAUGUACUUCACAAUAUUCAAUAUAGCAUCCGAUUUCAACCGCAAAUAAGCUCCAUAAGCUUCUUUCUCGCUAGGACACCAGCACUGGUAAUUGACUUUCUUUCUAACGAAAUUGAUUAAUUUCGAAAACCUCCAUCCACUAAUUACCGAUUAACUUUCCAAUGUACCACACCUACCACUCUCGAACUGCCCCAAAAAAAGGGACUGCUCGUCUCCGUUCUCGUCUCGCCGCUCGUUUGUUCACCCGUGCGAUCGACCAUUAAUUGACGGCCAAAAGGCACGAUAUAAUUAUUGAGUUUAUUAGUUAAAAAUUAUACAUUGUCCUAGCUGAAAACGCAGGCUUAACGCACAAAAUAUGAUAAUGAGUUCCGAUUGGGUACAGCUGCAAAUUGGUCCAGUGCACGUGCCUAUGUGUAUGUUUGAUGUUGGUCAGUUUCAAUAAAAUUGAUGCUAUAAAAAGAAGCAGCCAACAAUCCAGCCACGCCACCAAUAUCCCCGGGGGAGGAUCUUAGCGGAUUUGUUUAGUGCGUUUGCUAUUAACCGCUCGAUCUGUGUUCACCCUUGUGUUUGUGUGUGUGAGUGGGUCAACUAUUAGGAAACAUGCGGCCAAUAUUUGUGCAGCCCACCGACCACCCCAAUCCGCCCGGCAUGCCAAUGACAGUGUGAUGUUUGGUUUCUAAACGCAAUUUUCACACACAAAACAAUAAGCGCUAACAAUUAUUGUCAUCGGUACGUCAUCCCCCACCCCGCUUAGGGUCUCCUGCCUUAUCGAAUGCUCGCACCUCUUCAAAUUGCAUCGCUGCUCUUGAUUUGGCUCAUCAUUAUCAUUAACGCGGAUUUUGAAAAUUCAUUCUCGCCCCGCCCGCGGGUUCUUUCUCACGCUGCAAUUGAUACUCGACGCGUAUGUUGCCGGCGCUGUAUGAUACGCUGAUCCGAGUUACCAAAUGUGGGCUUAUUGGCUUUAAUUGGGACUGGUACCGAGGGUGGGUGGGAGGUGAUGAUGUGCCUGCAUUCCUUCCACCUGCCAGCUGCCACGUGCAGUUGAUUAGGCUGUUGCUGUCAAAAGUGCACCGGGAAAAACAUGAAAGGGAUUUGGCUCUGAUGGCAAAUUUGUCCCUACGCCAAAUUUGUCCAAAGACCGGAGACUGGAGUUUGAUUGCGAUCACUCAUUAGUGAGUACGCAAAGGAUUUCAUGUUUGGAAUUAGCUUACCACCACACUGUGUUAAUGACAUUUUCCAUUUGCGGUCCUACGAUGCACUGUUGCGUUUUUUUUUUAAUUCUUUUUUGUAAUUAUUUGACUUUUUGCAUCAUGUCCAACACGAAAGACUACCCAGCCUAUUUUAACAUGAUCAUAUACAGAUGAAUUCGCUUCGCACACAUGGCAAGUAAACUGUUUUACGCAAACAUACGUACGAUUUAAAUUACUUUAGAAAUGACAAAUUAAUGUAAAUUAAAACUUGCUUCAGUCGUUCGAUUCGAUACCUCUGUUC